rnacentral:rRNA from 1 species
AGCGAACGCUGGCGGCAGGCCUAACACAUGCAAGUCGAACGAACCCUUCGGGGUUAGUGGCGGACGGGUGAGUAACACGUGGGAACGUGCCUUUAGGUUCGGAAUAACUCAGGGAAACUUGUGCUAAUACCGAAUGUGCCCUUCCGGGAAAAGAUUUAUCGCCUUUAGAGCGGCCCGCGUCUGAUUAGCUAGUUGGUGAGGUAAUGGCUCACCAAGGCUACGAUCAGUAGCUGGUCUGAGAGGAUGACCAGCCACAUUGGGACUGAGACACGGCCCAAACUCCUACGGGAGGCAGCAGUGGGGAAUCUUGCGCAAUGGGCGAAAGCCUGACGCAGCCAUGCCGCGUGGAUGAUGAAGGUCUUAGGAUUGUAAAAUCCUUUCACCGGUGAAGAUAAUGACUGUAGCCGGAGAAGAAGCCCCGGCUAACUUCGUGCCAGCCGCCGCCGUAAUAC